GGCUCAAUGGUCUAGGGGUAUGAUUCUCGGUGCGAGAGGUCCCGGGUUCAAAUCCCGGUUGAGCCC
rnacentral:tRNA from 1 species